rnacentral:tRNA from 1 species
GCAGUAAAAGCCGAGGGAAGGGCGUCGGUCUUGUAAGCCGAAGGGCGGAGAUAAUCCUUACUGCA